rnacentral:snRNA from 1 species
AUACUUGCCUGGCAGGGAAGAUACCAUGAUCACAAGGGUGGUUGUCCCAGGGCAAGGCUUCCCCAUUGCACUCUGGACAUGCUGACCCCUGAGAUUUCCCCAAAUGUGGGGAACUAACUCAACUGCAUAAUUUGUGAUAAUGGGGGACUGCAUUUGUGCUCUCCCUUC